ensembl:lincRNA
AGCACAUGCAGGACCCUGGGCUCGACUGUUUGCGUGGGGAAGGAACCAGCUCACAGGUCACCUGCUCACUCUCAGCGCCCGGCCCGGGCAGCAGCUGGCAUUGCAGAAGUCUGAGCCCAGGACGCAGGGUGAGGGGCCGCGCUGAGUGUCCACUGCCCUGAGGGGCUGGGACCCCAGAUGCCUGGCUCAGCCCUUGGUGCCUUUCCCUCACCAGCCCUUCGGAAUGGCUUCACCUUCAUUCUCACAGCACGGCAGAGGCGGGAGACCGGGCCCGAGAGACGAGCCGGUUCGAGCCCCACUUAGCCUCCUCUCUGGCCCCCGGCCUGGGCUCCCAGCUGGUGACUGAGCCAGCUGAGCCCCCUCCACCUGUGCACCUGCUGCGGAGGUCACGGAGACCCCGCAGCGCCAGCCCCUGGCUGAAGCAGAGCGUCAGGGCACAGCUCCCAGGCUCCGGCCCGUCCCACGGCCACCCACGCCCUGUCCCAGCUCAGCCAGGGCUGUCUUCAGAUUCUGGGCAGAGGGGCUGCACCAGAAGGAAGGGACCCAAGGAAUCUCUCGGGUGGCCCACAGGAACAAGCGUGGCUGGCUGCAGCCCCCCACUCCCCCACAUGGACCAGAGCAGGGCGGGGCUGGGGGAAUCUGCCUGGGCAGGGUCCCUGCUUUCUGGGUCCCUCCCGAGGGCGGCCGGGGGAUCAGCAGCAUCAGGGAGACAGAGCCUACACCAUCUGCUGUGGGAGGGCCUGGCUCUGGCUCCACUGUGCCCUGGGCACAGUGCAUGGCACAUGAGAGCCUGUGGCGUGCACCCAGAGACCGGCCUGGUCUCCACCCGCGGUCCGUGGUCCAUCGCACGUCCCACCCUCCUGUCUGGGCGGCUGGGUGACUUCCUCUUCCCACAGGGGCCUCUCCACCCCCAAGCCAGCUCCCCAGCCCUGGUCCUGAGGGGUGCGGCUGUGGUUGCCAUGGCAGCAGGCUUUCCUCAGAGCGAAGGCUUCAGCCUGGGCUGUGCAGCCACCUCUGGCCUCCUCUGGCCCAGCCAGCCUGCUUGUGGGUUCAACGGUGAAGGAGGCAGCAGCCAGGAGCCGCACUCCCAGGAUGGAGCCGCAUCUCCAGCUGAAUGCACAGCCUGGGUCUUUAUCCACCUGGGAGACCUCGGAAACAGGAGCUGGUGAGCUGCAGACCCCACGCCCCGGGACAGCAGGCGAGUAAAGUGUCACUCGCCCACUGGCCAGGUGAAGAGGCGUUUUUGUACUAAAAACGUCAAAAUGUGGGCAGAAGUGAGCACCCCCCACACAGUGGGCAGGAAGGGUGAGGGUGCUGACGAUGCCUCACGGUUUUCUUUCUUACGAAUUCUUUCCUUGUUAGAACGGAGCACGGCCUUGGAGUCCGGAUUUGGCUGUGGAGUGGGUCUCCUUGACACCCGGCUGUGCUGCACACACAGGCCUCUGGAGGUGGCGGCCGUCUCUGAAGGCGGUGUUGGUGGGAAGCUUUUCUUUUUUUGUUUUUCUGUAUUUUCUAAAGUCUGUAGCAUUUUACUAUGUACAAUUUUAGUGGUCAAAAUAAAUGCAAAACUGUUCAAAACUGGGUCCAAGGGAUGCAUCCUGCCAGUGUCCCCGUGCUGGGCCUCCAGUCUCUGCAGCCGCAUGCAGGACUAGGACAGGGACUGUGGCCACUUUACAGGUUGGGUGGUUUAGGUGCAAAAGAUCUAGGAAGACAGGGGGGUGGCACAUGUUUUAACCCCAGCACUCUGGGAAGCUGAGGCAGGAGAGUCAGAAGUUUGAGCUCAGCCUAGGCAACUUAGCAAGACCCUGAGAGAGAGGGUAGAAGGACAGAGAGGGACACAGAGGUCACAGAACUUUCUGGAACAUUAGAGCUUAUGGGGUGAGGGGCGAG